rnacentral:rRNA from 1 species
UACGGAGGAUGCAAGCGUUAUCCGGAAAGAUUGGGCGUAAAGCGUCCGCAGGCGGCAAUGUAAGUCUGCUGUCAAAGCGUCUGGCUCAACCAGAUAAAGGCAGUGGAAACUACAUAGCUAGAGUAAGGUAGGGGUAGAGGGAAUUCCUGGUGUAGCGGUGAAAUGCGUAGAGAUCAGGAAGAACACCGGUGGCGAAAGCGCUCUGCUGGACCUUAACUGACACUGAGGGACGAAAGCUAGGGGAGCGAAUGGG